GAACAGAGGAGAGAAAGUUAGAGUUUGAAAAGAGUGGGUUGUGAGACGUUAGACAAAUACUUAGACAUAAUACAAGAAUGAAGGUUUGCAUAUGGAAGUUUACAGUUAUAUAGAUGAAAUUAUACAGGCUGAGGAACAGACAAGAGAAAGUUUGAGAGUUUGAGAAGAAUGGAUUGUGAGAAGUUAGACAAAUACUUUUACAUAAUACAGAAAUGAAAGUUUGAAUAGGUUGGUUUACAGAGUUAUAUAGAUGAAAUUAUACAGACAAGAGAAAGUUUUAGAGUUUGAGAAGAAUGGAUUAGACGUUAGACAAAUACUUAGACAUAAUACAGAAAUGAAAGUUUGAAUAGGUUGGUUUACAGAGUUAUAUAGAUGAAAUUAUACAGACAAGAGAAAGUUUUAGAGUUUGAGAAGAAUGGAUUAGACGUUAGACAAAUAUACCUAGACAUAAUACAAGAAUGAAGGUUUGCAUAGGUUGGUUUACAGAGUUAUAUAGAUGAAAUUAUACAGACAAGAGAAAGUUUUAGAGUUUGAGAAGAAUGGAUUGUGAGAAGUUAGACAAAUACUUAGACAUAAUACAAAAAUGAAGGUUUGCAUAGAGUGAUUUACAGAGUUAUAUAGAUGAAAUUAUACAGGCGGAGGAACAGAAGAGAGAAAGUUGAGUUUGAGAUGGAGGAAUUAUAAAACGAAAGACAUAUACUUAAACAUAAUACAGAAAUUAAGGUUUACAUAUGUUUUUUUACAGCGUUAAAUAGAUGAAAUAACACAGACGGAUGAACAGACAAGAGAAAGUAAGUUUGAGGAGAAGGAAUUAUAUCACGUACGACUAAUGCUAGAAAAAACAAACAUAAUGAGGGUUAGAUACCGUGGUUUAGUUCGUUAUAAGUAAGACAAUCCGAACAGACGAGAAGAGAAAGUUAGGGAGCAUGCGUAGAGUGGAAUACAAGACAGACGAAUUCCAUAACACAGUAAGAGAAUCAAGGUUGCCGUAGUGUGGGUUCAGGGCGUUAUAGAUGAAAAGAUAUUAACGGAGGAAGAAAAGAGAAGAGAAAUUAGGGAGUAUGUGUGGAAUGGAAUACAAGACAGUCGAAUUCCAUAACACAAUAAGAGAAUCAAGGUUGCCGUGGUGUGGGUUCAGGGCGUUAUAGAUGAAAAGAUAUUAACGGAGGAAGAAAAGAGAAGAGAAAUUAGGGAGUAUGUGUGGAAUGGAAUACAAGACAGUCGAAUUCCGUAACACAGUAAGAGAAUCAAGGUUGCCGUGGUGUGGGUUCAGGGAGUUAUAGAUGAAAAGAUAUUAACGGAGGAAGAAAAGAGCAGAGAAAUUAGGGAGUAUGUGAAGAGUGGAAUACAAGACAGUCGAAUUCCAUAACACAGUAAGAGAAUCAAGGUUGCCGUAGUGUGGGUUCAGGACGUUAUAGAUGAAAAGAUAUUAACGGAGGAAGAAAAGAGCAGAGAAAUUAGGGAGUAUGUGUGGAAUGCAAUACAAGACAGUCGAAUUCCAUAACACAGUAAGAGAAUCAAGGUUGCCGUGGUGUGGGUUCAGGACGUUAUAGAUGAAAAGAUAUCAGCGGAGGAACAAACGAUGGGAGAAAGUUAAGGGGUAUGUGUGCUUAGAGUGGAAUGCGAGACAGACACAUAACCAAUAACAUUAACACAUGCCAUAACACAGUAAGAGAAUCAAGGUUGCCGUGGUGUGGGUUCAGGACGUUAUAGAUGGAAAGAUAUAAGCGGUGGAACAAACAAGAGGAGAAAGUUGAGUUUUAGAGGAGUGGAUUAUAAAAAGUAGGACUGAUGCUGAAGCUCAAUACUACAUAAUGAAGGUUACCAUAGCAUUACGUAGAGUGUUAUAGAUGAAACAAUACACGGUGAGGAAUGUAUAAGAGGAGAAAGUUACAGAGUUUGAGAGAAGUGGAUUAUAAAAGUAGGACUGAUGCUGAAGCUCAAUACUACAUAAUGAAGGUUA